GACGUAGGGCGCAAGCGUUGUCCGGAUUUAUUGGCGUAAAGAGCUCGUAGGCGGCUUGUUGCGUCGGCUGUGAAAUCCCGUGGCUUAACUGCGGCUUGCAGCCGAUACGGGCAGGCUAGAGUUCGGUAGGGGAGACUGGAAUUCCUGGUGUAGGCGGUGAAAUGCGCAGAUAUCAGGAGGAACACCGAUGGCGAAGGCAGGUCUCCUGGGCCGAUAAUUGCGCUGAGAAGCGAAAGCAUGGGGAGCGAACAGG
rnacentral:rRNA from 1 species